AUUUCCUUGGUGUAUUAGCACUAUAAUUUUUGAAAUUAUCGGAUUUGUAGGAGCCUAAGGAAAUA
rnacentral:tRNA from 1 species